rnacentral:rRNA from 1 species
AUUGAACGCUGGCGGCGUGCUUAACACAUGCAAGUCGAACGGUAAGGCCCUUCGGGGUACACGAGUGGCGAACGGGUGAGUAACACGUGGGUGAUCUGCCCUGCACUUCGGGAUAAGCCUGGGAAACUGGGUCUAAUACCGGAUAGGACUCCUGGCUUCAUGGUUGGGGGUGGAAAGCUUUUGCGGUGUGGGAUGGGCCCGCGGCCUAUCAGCUUGUUGGUGGGGUAAUGGCCUACCAAGGCGACGACGGGUGGCCGGCCUGAGAGGGUGACCGGUCACACUGGGACUGAGAUACGCCCAGACUCCUACGGGAGGCAGCAGUGGGGAGUAUUGCACAAUGGGCGCAAGCCUGAUGCAGCGACGCCGCGUGAGGGAUGACGGCCUUCGGGUUGUAAACCUCUUUAGCUAUGACGAAGCGCAAGUGACGGUAGUAGCAGAAAAAGGACCGGCCAACUACGUGCCAGCCGCCGCCGUAA